rnacentral:lncRNA from 1 species
GGAAUUUCACCCUACUUGUAACUACAGUCAAACAAACUCACCAGCUCAUAAUAUCAAACAUGGGACCUCCCAUAUUUUUUUUUAUUAGAAAGUCGUAGUCCACGCUCUUACCAAUGGACCACUUUCUGUUUUGGAGUCCAAAGGUUUUGUUUACAAGUGGGAAGUAUUCUUUUUUUCUUUUGGGGUCCAAAGGUUUUGUCUCCAAAUGCCUAAAUUUGCUCAAUCUCUUCAUAAUAUUCUAAAGGGUAGUUCUAUUCACCGCUUAUUUUUAUUUUUCACAUAAUUUUUCAAUUUUCAACUGUCAAAUAAAAUGAAUUGAAAAUAAAUUAAUAACAAAAAAUUAACAAGGAUGUGUGGCAGGUAAAAAAUAGGUGUAUGAAUAGCACUAUCUUAUUCUAAAAUUUGCUUCCAUUAAUGAAAUACAAAUCUCUUUGAUAAAGGGGGAAAAAAUUUAAAAAAAAAUGACACUAAUUAACCAUUCAAAAGUGUUGUUGGAGUGGUACAUGGGUAAUAAUGGAGAAAAUAUUACAUUUGUAACAACAUUAUGAUCAUAUAACAUGCCAAUAUGGUAUUAUAAAAUUGUCUAAAUUUUAAUACAUGUGCAAUCAUAAUACUAAACUCGAUCGUAGACGCUUUAAGCUCAAAACACUAAACUUAACUAUAACACUCUAAACUCAACGCGUAUAAUAAUUUGACUAAAUUUGGCACAAAACGCAUCUCUCUACAUUCACAUUUAUUUUUGGUACUAGCUAGCUUUUAGGAUUUAUGUUUAUAGUCAACCAACAUCUGUCUCCUAUUGUAAUUAAGAUUUGUGUUUAUAUUCAUUACAAAGUGAACUAUAAUUCAUGUAUUUAUAUUGAUAAAAAAUAAUUAGUGUAUUCCAAACAGAUUUACUUUUCCAACAGCAUUAAUCUCCAACCAUCGCCAGUAAUGCUGGAAAAAGCUUCUGGGAGACCGUUUCCUCGAGAGCGGUUGGAUUCCAUUGCAGUGAUCUCUCUCUCUCUCUCUCUCUCUCUCUCUCUCGCUCUCUCUCUCUCUCUCAGU